AAACCCAGCCCCCUCUAUUUGCAUCUCUAUUCACAUGCCGGGAUUCUGUACAGCGAUGCCCGCGCUCCGCACACACAGCUGAGCCGAGAUGUGUGUCUCCCUCUUUGACAGUGACAUUCUUACCUGACAAAAGCCGUUUCUUUCUGCAAGCAUUUCCACCAAUCAGGACGCUGCAUACUACAACCAUGUUUCCCAAUCACAGACUUUAACCAUCACUCCUCAGUGAACUGCCUCAUAGUCUGAGAUCUUUUUCUAGUUACAGAGCCAGUUAUCAUUAUGGAGUUUCCAUGUUUUUUAGGAGUUUGCUCACACUAAUACAUGU